rnacentral:rRNA from 1 species
GACGAACGCUGGCGGCGUGCUUAACACAUGCAAGUCGAACGGAAAGUCCCUGCUUUUGUGGGGUGCUCGAGUGGCGAACGGGUGAGUAACACGUGAGUAACCUGCCCUUGACUUUGGGAUAACUUCAGGAAACUGGGGCUAAUACCGGAUAGGAGCUCCUGCUGCAUGGUGGGGGUUGGAAAGUUUCGGCGGUUGGGGAUGGACUCGCGGCUUAUCAGCUUGUUGGUGGGGUAGUGGCUUACCAAGGCUUUGACGGGUAGCCGGCCUGAGAGGGCGGCCGGCCACAUUGGGACUGAGAUGCGGCCCAGACUCCUACGGGAGGCAGCAGUGGGGAAUAGUGCACAAUGGGCGGAAGCCUGAUGCAGCAACGCCGCGUGCGGGAUGACGGCCUUCGGGUUGUAAACCGCUUUCGCCUGUGACGAAGCGUGAGUGACGGUAAUGGGUAAAGAAGCACCGGCUAACUACGUG